UUUCCACCGUCCCGAUGAAAUCCCUUUCUAUUCUCUUUCCCCAUCCCACUAUUCUUUCUAAUCGCGUAUGUAUUUUGUGUCCAUUGAAGAGGCUUUCGCAGGGGUGGCUUGGGUGGAGGUGACAUCAAGGUUUUUCGAAUGAGAUACCAACCCUGUCAUGUUCCACCAUGUUGAUGGCAUCGAGUUCUAGAAACUCGUUUCCUGUUCCUUUUACUUCCCCUAAUUACACGCUAUAGGUAUGAUAUGAUUGUUUCUAAUGCUAUCUUUCUUCCAAACUCGAUUUUCCUCGAUGUUGUGUCUUCCACAGAUCCUCCAAUUUCUUUCGACGACAACAACUCAGUCCGUCCAACUAAUUCGGCAUAUGAGUUCGAGUCAGGUGGGGAAGCAACGCAUCAGGUUAAAUCCGUUGUGCCCCCAAAGAUUUCAUGAAGACUAACAUUGGUAAAAUGAAUCUUCAACAUCUGAAACUAUCCUUCCAUAUGAUACUUUUAACUACAGAACCAAGGAUUAUUACACGGAGCUAAAACCAUCAUGGUCCGCUUUUCAGGUCAGAUCAUUUGUGCUAACAUCAUUUAGGUUUUUCUUACUCUUUUAUUUGCCUCUUUUGGUGCGUAAUGUUGAAGAAGAUGAUAAUUUCUUAUCGUGUUUUUCGGAUGAGCGUCAUGUAGCCUUGGUUGUGCCCUUCAAAAAAUCAGUACAACAGACCCAUCGUGAGGUAAGUAUGAAGCUGACUGUUAUUACCACUAUACAAGUUUUGGAACCAUUUGUUGUUUACCAUUUCUCAUAGAGAGCAGCAUAGAAACUUCUUAAAGGUACAAUGUCCUUAUAAUCGUUCUCUUUUCAUGUAAUCUCAAUAACUGAUCGUUUUUCUUUUCAUGCUUAGAUGUCCCAAAGUCCAAACUCUGCUGUUCAAACCUUGAGCAUUCUUUGUUUCUGUAAACCUUAAUUUAUGUAAUUAAAUUUAUUUAACCCAUUUUUUUCCAACCCUAAAACAAAUUCAGCAAAAGUAACAAACAUGAGGUGUUACAAAAAGCUGAAAAGGAUGUUUCAGCUGUGAAGGUUCAGUAUAUAGCCCAGUUAGUAAAUCAUUGAUUUGAAAAGUAGUACUAACAAGUAACGAAGUGAUUGUUUUUCUUCAUUAACCCUUUACAAAAAAGGUAAGCUUCUUAGAGUUUGUUGCUAUAAGUGAUUCAAAGUUGAUGCUAAAAUGUAACACCAUAAUUUUUCAAACCAAAUUUUUUAAUUUAAAACACAUUUAUCAUAGUAAUAAAUCUCAAAAUGUCACAAUAAUCAUCAACUCUCUUAAUCAAAACUGUAUAUAUAUAUAUAUAUAUAUAUAUAUAUAUAUAUAUAUAUAUAUAUAUAUAUAUAUAUAUAUAUAUAUAUAUAUAUAUAAAACUCCAGGAUCCUCUAAAUCAUGACUCAAUCUCUGAUGUGUGUACAAUCAAGCCGGCACCCUCCCGCGAUCCAGAUAAGAACCUGAAACACAUAACACAUAACACGGUAAGCACGAAACUUAGUGAGUCCCUCAAAAUACCACAUAUCACACACUAGCCACUCGAGGCUAUAACUCUGUAGGACCCUCUGGUCAAUGUAUCUCAGUGGGACCCUUCAGUCCCACAACUCUGAUGGACCCUCAGGUCCUAACUCAGCAAGCUCAACAUAUCAUACAACAUAAAUCACAAAGACAUAAUACAGGAUAUCACAAUACUCAAUAUAAGCAUAUAAGGCAUCCUAGUCAUAUAAAAGCUACCACUCAUGGUAAGUAUAGUGAUAAGACUCACCUCGGUUGAUGAACAACCCCUAUAAACGCUGUUGCUACGUGCCGGCCACUAACUUUGUGCCAAACCUACAAUUAUCUCAAUUAAAAACUAAGCCCAAACUCUCACUCAUUGGGUAUAAAAGCAGAACACCAACCAGCCCAUCAAUGACCUAAACCCAUUGGGUCCACCAAGGCCCAAUAAUAAAUGGUCCCUCACAAGGCCCAAUUCUCAAACUAAAAGGCAAGCGCAACUCAAGGGCCCAAAGCACAUAUAUAUAGUUCUCUGGUCCAAGUCUCUAUUGCACCAAGCCCAAACUCCAGGCCCAACACUCAAGGCCCAACAUAAUACUUAGCCCAAAAGCCUACAGUGAGGUUAUGCGGGUCGUACCUCCUUGGUACGCUCAGAGUACGCUAGCAUGCACGGAUCUGAUCGGGGACACUAACCCAGUACGCGGGGCGUACUGGAUCUUCCGCUGGGCGUACACUCAGUUUUGCUUAAGUCCAUUCCUUUGGUCUUAACCCGUUAAGACCUUAGCUCAUUUCUCAUAUCUGGACUCCCUAAUAUCUCUUGCUCCAUAAAUUCGAAGACUUUAAGCCCUUGCAUGGUUGAUUAAGUCACAAACACUCAAAAUAUACACUCUUUUGCCUCAAGGAGCUCACAACUCAUGCAUGAAGUGACUCCAACUACCAAGAUUGGAUUUUUAUAACAUUACACCACUAAUAAGCUCAAGAAGGGAUGGUCCUAGUCUCUGGAGUUCAAGAUCUCAUCAAGUGUCCACCUUUUUGGGACAAAACCCUAAAAUACUCCAUUAACAUACUCAUAGAAAAAGAGAGGUAAAGUUUGAAGCUUUAUACAUCAAAAAGAAGCUCCCAACUCAGAUAUGCUCGGAUCUAGAAGCUUGGACUCCAACUCCUUCUUCUUCAAGGCUUCCACUUCUUUUCAAGAGCACACAAAACUCUCAAAAGCUCUUAAAGACACAUACAAGCUCCAAGAAUGAAGGAAGCGGGUUUUGGAGGGUUUGCUCUCUGAGAAAGGUGGCCAGGAAUGAGGCCAUCUCAUUCUUUAUAUAGGGUCACUUAAAAUAUUAGGGUUUUCCUUCACAGCCUAGUACACCCAGCGUUCCUCUUGGUACGCCCAAUAUACUAGGUGGUCCUCGCGUCUAUUCCAUGCUCAUAGGUACGCUAAGCAUACCUAUAUUUAUGCCCAUCGUACUCGAUUGCCACCCAUUUCUCAAUAAGGACUAAAUUUAUCAUAUCUUCCAAACUAUCAUAGCUUCUUUGUUACAAGUCUGAUUCUAAUGAUUCUUAUAUCCAUGGAAAGGUGGCGAGAAGCUCUACGCUUCUAUUAACUCAUCACAACCUCAAGGCUCUAUGAACCAAAACUCAAAACUCAUAAUUGAUUAAACAAGAUAUUACAAGAAAAAGUAGAAAAAAGCAAGUUGUAAUUCAAAGAAAUAAGAGUUGGAUGCUAUAAUAUACAAAUGAACUAAAAUAUGUUGAUAUUUCUUUUGCUGGAAUGCCACAAUAAUUGUUUCUAGGUUUGAUAAUCGAAGUUAACAUUUUUUUAAUAUGAUUUUUGCCUUUUUUAGGUCUGUUUUGUAAAAGCAAGUAAUGGGAUAUGGAUUUUUUUGAAAAGAUGCUGGUCCCCGAUUGAUCUCUAGAUCCAAAAUGAAAUGACUGGUGGCUUGCAGAUGAAUUCAGGUAAAAGCACUUAAAGAUGCAAGACUGAUAGUGGAUACCCUCUAAGCAAGAUGAAAAGGAGAAAACUAUAAAUUUCCUUAUUUAUGUCAUUUUCCAACUUUUCCUCUUUUUUUUUUUAUUUAUUUUAUGUUCUAACUUAAAUUAAUCAUGGUGUUUCUAUAGGUGGAGUGAUUGGAAGCAUCGGUGAUAUACUAGAUGCAUCACAGUUAAUUUGCAAAAAGGUUUUAUCUUUCUACAAUUUUCCAUAAAUUCUAUACUCUUUUAUCCACCGAUUGAUGUCGACGUCAAAUAUAUAAACAUUCAUAAUAAUUUUUUUUUUACUUAGAAACAUCACCUUAGUCCAUUUUUGUCCCUCGAAUUAAUGGUACUAUUUGGAGAUUUUGGACCCGAAUAGUGCCACUUCAUGGUAGAGUUUUGAAGGAAAUAAGUUAUGUAAAUUCUUUGGUUAAGAACUUUCAAUUACAUGAUUCUACUUGACAUAAUCAAAACUAGAAAAAAACAAUAGUAAGAUUAUUUGGGAUCAUAAAGGUUAGCAUUUUGUUAUCGUUUUUAAUUUUUAAGUUUUUGAAAUUACUUCUACAAAUAUUGCUUACUUCAGUUUCAACUAAUAUUGUGAAAUUUUUUUUUUGUAUUGUUUGACUUAAUUGACCUUGGAAUGUGUAACGAACUUAAUUCAUAUUUGGGUUUUCAAUUUGUUAAUGGAAUUUGAUUCUUUUGGGUUUUCUUGAGUUUCCCCUCGCAAAGAAACUUUUGCAUUACCUUCGAUUGAGGUUCUUUUUCAUUUUGCUGAUUUCAUUAGUUGGUUAGUUUUCUAUCGUUUCUAUGAAUAAUUGGUUUAAUUCUGCUUCCUUUUGUUGACUGCAUUUAAUGGAGUCAACUUGCUUUCCAUAACUUUCUUCUCUUUCAGGUUCAAAAGUAUCCACAAGUGUGAUGUUUAUCUACAGUCUCAACAGAAACCUCUGUUUCUGAUGCUACAUUUUUUUUGCUGAUAAGGGUAAUUUCGGAAUUAUCAACAACAUUUGUACUAGGUUAAGUUGCCUACACUCUCAAAAGAUUGUACAUAGAGAUGUGAAGACUUAAGACAUGUUGUUGGACAAAUCAAGAACUAUUAAAAUUGUUGAUUUUAUA